rnacentral:rRNA from 1 species
AACUGCGAGUGAAGCGGGAAAAGCUCAAAUUUAAAAUCUGGCGGUUUUGUCGCCCGAGUUGUAAUCUGGAGAAGCGUUUUCCGUGCCGGACCGUGUACAAGUCUCUUGGAACAGAGCGUCAUAGAGGGUGAGAAUCCCGUCCAUGACACGGACUCCCGGUGCUUUGUGAUACGCUCUCGAAGAGUCGAGUUGUUUGGGAAUGCAGCUCAAAAUGGGUGGUAAGCUCCAUCUAAAGCUAAAUAUUGGCGAGAGACCGAUAGCGAACAAGUACCGUGAGGGAAAGAUGAAAAGCACUUUGGAAAGAGAGUUAAACAGUACGUGAAAUUGUUGAAAGGGAAACGCUUGAAGUCAGUCGCGUCUUACUUGACUCAGCCUUGCUUYGGCUUGGUGUAUUUCAAGUAGGAUGGGUCAACAUCGAUUUUGACCGGUGGACAAGGGGUGAAGGAAUGUGGCACUCUUCGGAGUGUGUUAUAGCCUUUUCUCAUAUACAUCGGUUGGGAUUGAGGCCCGCAGCGCGCCCUUGUGGCCGGAGGUUCGCCUCACGUAACGCGCUUAGGAUGUUGGCAUAAUGGCUUUAAGCGACCCGUCUUGAAACACGGACCAAGGAGUCUAACAUGCUCGCGAGUGUUAGGGUGGAAAACCCUUGCGCGUAAUGAAAGUGAAAGUUGAGACCCUCCGCAAGGGGGUGCAUCGACGCCCGGCCCUGAAGUUUACUGACGGUGCUGCGGUAGAGCGCGUAUGUUGGGACCCGAAAGAUGGUGAACUAUGCCUGAAUAGGGCGAAGCCAGAGGAAACUCUGGUGGAGGCUCGUAGCGAUUCUGACGUGCAAAUCGAUCGUCAAA